CAUAUCAUCCCUGCCCAUUAGAGUGAACAAUAUUAGCAAAGGCACUGAGAAGGAAUAAUCUUGGCCUGUUUAUCGAACGUAGACACAGGGUUUCACCGUGUGAGCCAGGAUGGUCUCAAUCUCCUGACCUCGUGAUCCACCCGCCUCGGCCUCCCAAAGCGCUAGGAUUACAGGUGUGAGCCACUGCGCCCAGCACACUCUUCAAAAACUCUUGAACAAGAUAUGAUGAGCUUCUGCGUAGCGAAUGCAUCUUUGUGCAGGGAGGGUGGUGUACCUUAACUCCACAAAGGAUCAAAGCUUCUACACUCAGGACCCUUCUGGACCUUGCCCUAUGCACCUCUUCAUCU
ensembl:lncRNA novel transcript